AGCAGCCGCGGUAAUUCCAGCUCCAAUAGCGUAUAUUAAAGUUGUUGCAGUUAAAAAGCUCGUAGUUGAAUUUCGGGGUCAGUAGGUCGGUCGUGCCACUGGUAUGAACUGGUUUUACUGAUUCCUCCCUCUUGAAGAACUGUAAUGCCAUUAAUUUGGUGUUGCAGGGAAUCAGGACUGUUACUUUGAAAAAAUUAGAGUGUUUAAAGCAGGCUUUAGCUUGAAUACAUUAGCAUGGAAUAAUGAAAUAGGACGUUUGAUCCUAUUUUGUUGGUUUCUAGGAUUGACGUAAUGAUUAAUAGGGAUAGUUGGGGGCAUUAGUAUUCAAUUGUCAGAGGUGAAAUUCUUGGAUUUAUUGAAGACUAACUACUGCGAAAGCAUUUGCCAAGGAUGUUUUCAUUAAUCAAGAACGAAAGUUAGGGGAUCGAAGACGAUCAGAUACCGUCGUAGUCUUAACCAUAAACUAUGCCGACUAGGGAUCGGAUGAUGUU
rnacentral:rRNA from 1 species